GAUGAACGCUGGCGGCGUGCUUAACACAUGCAAGUCGAACGGAAAGGCCCAAGCUUGCUUGGGUACUCGAGUGGCGAACGGGUGAGUAACACGUGGGUGAUCUGCCCUGCACUUCGGGAUAAGCCUGGGAAACUGGGUCUAAUACCGGAUAGGACCACAUUUUGGAUGGUGUGGUGGAAAGUUUUUCGGUGUGGGAUGAGCUCGCGGCCUAUCAGCUUUUUGGUGGGGUAAUGGCCUACCAAGGCGUCGGCGGGUAGACGGCCUGAGAGGGUGUACGGCCACAUUGGGACUGAGAUGCGGCCCAGACUCCGACGGGAGGCAGCAGUGGGGAAUAUUGCACAAUGGGCGCAAGCCUGAUGCAGCGAGGCCGCGUGGGGGAUGACGGCCUUCGGGUUGUAAACUCCUUUCGCUAGGGACGAAGCGUUAUGUGACGGUACCUGGAGAAGAAGCACCGGCUAACUACGUG
rnacentral:rRNA from 1 species